ensembl:lncRNA
UGUGUGUGUGUGUGUGUGUGUAGUCUUGUGACUACCAGUCUAUUGCAUCAUAACCCUCUGCAGCACACUCGUACGCCCCAGCUGCUCAAAUGACCUUUGACCCCGCCUUCAGAUUACACACCGCAGAAGGUGUCUGUGCCUCCAUGCAAUGGAAAUGGGAGAGACUCUGAGAGGGAUGUGGGAGUGUCCCUGAAGUAAAUGAAUAGAAAUGUGGGCGUGUCCCUGAGGUAAACUUAUACAAAUGUAGGCGUGUCCCCAGGUACAUGUAUAGAAAUGUGGGCGUGUCCAUGAAGUAAAUGAACAUAAAUGUGGGUGUCUCACUGAGGUAAAUGUAUAGAAAUGUGGACGUGUCACUGAAAUAAAUGUAUAGAAAGAUUUUCUAGGUUUUCUGUAUAUCAUGGAAACUUGGAUUACUCCAGGAGUUCGGAGCCUGUUUUCUGAACUGGUACCAUCUGACUGUAAUUUUUUAUUUUUUUCUAACUCUCCUCGUUCUGUUGGUCGAGAGGGACGACUGGCUUCAGUUUUUAAACGGAAUUAUUAAUACUGUCGGAUGCUGGUGACGGAUGUUUGUUUGAGUUCUGAACUUCAGUUAUUUGUAUUGGAGUUGGAUAAUCCAGUGGUGAUUUCAGGCAUUUAUCGACCACCUGAACCACACAAAGACUUUUUAAGGGGAAUUAUGCCCAACUUUAAUCGGGGAUACAUAUAUGUGUGUUGUCGAAGAAUUUCUGACCCUUGUUGACUCUUUUUACUUGGUGCAGCUUGUGAAUGCUCCCCCUCAUAUUCAGGUGAUCGGACCUACUGUUCAAAAGAUCACGAACAGCUGCCUUGAAAUGGCGACGGUACCAGAUGACAUGAAGCAUGCUGUUGUCCAUCCACUUCCUGAAAAGCCAAAUUUACAUCCAACGGUUCUAACAAAUUUUAGUCUUUCUUCUAUGUCCAAAAUGUGGGCGUGUCAACGAAGUAAAUGUAUAAAAAUGUGGGCGUGUCAAUGAGGUAAAUGUAUAGAAAUGUGGGCGUGUCACUGAGGUAAAUGUAUAAAAAUGUGGGCGUGUCGCUGAGGUAAAUGUAUAGAAAUGUGGGCGUGUCACUGAGGUAAAUGUAUAGAAAUGUGGGCGUGUCACCGAGGUAAAUGUAUAAAAAUGUGUGUGUGUCACUGAGGUAAAUGUAUAGAAAUGUGGGCGUGUCACUGAGGUAAAUGUAUAAAAAUGUGGGCGUGUCACUGAGGUAAAUGUAUAAAAAUGCGUGUGUGUCACUGAGGUAAAUGUAUAAAAAUGCGUGUGUGUCACUGAGGUAAAUGUAUAGAAAUGCGUGUGUGUCACUGAGGUAAAUGUAUAAAAAUGUGUGUGUCACUGAGGUAAAUAUAUAAAAAUGCGUGCGUGUCAAUGACGUAAAUGUAUAAAAAUGUGGGUGUGUCACUGAGGUAAAUGUAUAGAAACGUUGGCGUGUCACUGAGGUAAAUGUAUAGAAACGUUGGCGUGUCACUGAGGUAACUGUAUAGAAACGUUGGCGUGUCACUGAGGUAAAUGUAUAGAAAUGUGGGCGUGUCCCUGAAGUAAGCAAAUAGAAAUGUGAAGGUGUGACAGGAGUCAAGAUGGCGCCGAUGGGUGUGGCCUGCUCUCCGCUGCCUGUUGUGUUUGCCCAUUUGUUUUUCCCUUUUGAAUUAAAAUAAUAAAGCUACCUUUGUUGGACCAGGUGUUGGUCAAGGAUGCGUGAUGGGCGUGGCCGAGGGAAAGCCGCACCCAUCUGUCUCCUCAAUAUCGAGAUCAUUUUAAUGCAGUCUGAGAGACAUUAGCGGCGCAGCCAGGAAUGGAAAAGUAAAAAGCUUUUCAUUAGUCUGACACAAAGCCAUCGAUUUGCCAGAACAGAACGAACAGAGAAAACAAAGAGCAGAAGAAAGAAGGGGAAUAGAAGAAAGAAUGAGAGAAAAGUGGGGAAGAAAAGAAGAGAGGAGAAUAGAAAGAAACGAAGACAGUGGAGCGGAGGGACAGAACAGUGAGGAAUGAAGAGCCGAGAAAGAGAAGGAGAGAAGAAAAGGAAAGAAUGGAGCAUGAAGGAAGGAAGGAAGGGAGAGGAAGAAGACAAGAGGAGAGAGACAGAGAGAGAGAGAGUGAGAGAGACAGAGAGAGAGAGAGUGAGAGAGACGGAGUGAGAGAGACAGAGAGAGAGAGUGAGAGUGAGAGAGAGAGUGAGAGAGACAGAGAGAGAGUGAGAAUGAGAGAGAGUGAGAGAGACGGAGAGAGAGAGACAGAGAGAGAGAGAGUGAGAGAGACGGAGUGAGAGAGACAGAGAGAGAGAGUGAGAGUGAGAGAGAGAGAGAGUGAGAGAGACAGAGAGAGUGAGAGUGAGAGAGACGGAGGGAGAGAGACAGAGAGAGAGAGUGAGAGUGAGAGAGAGAGUGAGAGAGAGUGAGAGAGAUGGAGAGAGAGAGAGACAGAGAGAGAGAGAGAGAGAAUCCUCCCCUGAGCAGGACGAUUAUGAGCCGGCUUUCCAUCACACACCACACGACAAGCGGAGACAAGUUCUGUCCAGACUAAUGAUGCCAGGGUCACUGGGGGUGUGUGUGUGUGUGUGUGUAUCAGGCGGUAAGGAAGCAUGAACCGAUACUAUACAGUGUCCUAUACAGUCUAAAAUGAGUGUCACAUUAUUUAGGAAAUCCCGCUAAAUAGAUUAGCAGUGGGGGAGGUGCACACACACACACACACACACACACAUAUAUAUAAUACACACACUCACACCCCUGUCAUAUAUGAAUAUGAUAUAAUCUCAUUAAACGUAUAUAAAGGUAUUAUGAAGGA